GACAUGCAGAGAACUUCCCAGAGAUGGAUUGGUGCCUUCGGGAACUCUGACACAGGUGCUGCAUGGCUGUCGUCAGCUCGUGUCGUGGGAUGUUGGGUUAAGUCCCGUAACGAGCGCAACCCUUGUCCUUAGUUACCAGCACGUUAUGGUGGGCACUCUAAGGAGACUGCCGGUGACAAACCGGAGGAAGGUGGGGAUGACGUCAAGUCAUCAUGGCCCUUACGGCCUGGGCUACACACGUGCUACAAUGGUCGGUACAAAGGGUUGCCAAGCCGCGAGGUGGAGCUAAUCCCAUAAAACCGAUCGUAGUCCGGAUCGCAGUCUGCAACUCGACUGCGUGAAGUCGGAAUCGCUAGUAAUCGUGAAUCAGAAUGUCACGGUGAAUACGUUCCCGGGCCUU
rnacentral:rRNA from 1 species